rnacentral:lncRNA from 1 species
UCAUCAAUUCACCUGCCGGCCGGCAGGUCCUCUCCCCUGCUCGCCCAUCUCCAUGGAUGCGUGCGGCUGAGAGUACUCGUCGGUGCUGGAGGAUGAGUACUCGUGGGCUCGCAUGCCGGCGGCAAGACAAAUCUCACAGGCGACGAGCACUGGGAAGAAGACCAAAGGAAUAUUUUACGGUGGAUGAUAGGUGGGACCUGCUCGUCAGUAGGUGCAGUGCUUGCUCACAAAAUCCCAGCAUUAUCCCGUCCGAGCGAAACAGGUAUUAUCGGGCUAAGGUUUUAAUUGGUCGGGAUUAGAAGGUUAGGUUUGAUUCCUACAAGUUUCAGGGUUUAAAAUGGACUUUUCACAUUACAUAAUGUAAAGUAUAAGAGUGAAUUUCACUUUUUGACCUUCAAGUUCCAUUUUUUUAACAGUUUUGACUCCAUUUAGUGCAAUUUUCGUUUUUGAUCUCAUUUAGCCAAACUUGUGCCACUAAUGCAUGACCCUAUUUGAGAGACUUUUGCCCAAAUCCCUUCCAUCCUGACAAGCGGACUCCACUUUUUUGGCUGAUGUGGCAAGCUAGAUCACCACAGUGUGAAACUCACCGCAAGUUGCCGGCUGCAUAAGGCUAUUGUUGGGGUAGAGGCACCCGAACGCGUUGGUGCGCCAGCCUCAUAGCGUGCGGCACCACUCGCCGCUAGCGUUGCACGCUGCGUCGUCCCCGAGCACUAUCCACUCCAGCAAGAAACCGCACCUCACCAUAUCCUUGUAGUCUCUUAAAUGGGGUCAUUAUUGGCACAAGUGUUUCUAAUGGAGUCAAAAAAACAAAAAUCCCGUUAAACGGGUCAAAUCUGUCAAAAAAAAGUAGAACUUAGGAUAAAAAAUGAAAUUCAUUGAAAGUUUGCUUUGAUUUCCUCGAAAAGGACACUCUUCAUGGAAAGAUCAUGAUCACUAUUGAUCAGCACCGUUGACCGCUUGCGCCAAAAGGAGGGCAUCAGUUUCCACUCAAAUCCUCGUCAU